AUAUCAGGAAUAAUAGAUUUUAAACUUGUUGCCACUGGAAAAAUAAAGUUUUCUUUAAAAUGAACUGCUGAUAUUAAACUAGGCACAGUUUUACGCCACUCACAGAUAAUUGUUUGAGUGGUAGCCAAGUGACAUUUUGGGAAGGAUGUGUGCAAAUUCUAAAUUUCAUUUUGGAAUUAAUUAAUUAAUUUGCCAGAGGUCUAUUUGACUCCAGCAAUGUGAAUUGCAGAAAUCUAAGUAAUCCCAAAGAAUCUUUGCAUCAACAACAAGUAGAAUGAUUGCUUCUUAUAUCGUCUUUCUCCUCCCUAAUAGAAGCAAUGAUGCUGCCUUGCAAGCAGUGAACCAUGAAGAGCAGUAAAACACCUUAAUUUUAUAGCUCUGUCCUUUGUGUACUCUUCCAUGUAUAAUAUUUGAACGAGAUAGAGUCAAGGGAGUAAGAGAGGAGGUACAUUCCAUUUCUUUUAAGGAUAGCAAUAAAAAUCUCACUGCAUUUUAAAUGUCUUAUCUACAAAGACUGUGCUUGUUGAUAAACCAUUUUACUUUCCCCUCCUUCUGAAAUAAUCAGCUAUGUUCUCUUUUAUAUUUUCUUGUUUGCAGCUCUACUGGGAGAAUGUUCAUUACAUCAUCAUAUAUCUAUCUGAAUUGGAAAAAAUAUCUCCAAAGUCUACAUUUAAAUUUUUGGUCAAGUUUUGAAGAAUCACUACCCAACGCAUAGAAUUACUUUAACCAAACCGAAUUUUCUGUGAGGUUUUAAUAACUAACAAUAACACUUCACUUAAUCUUUUAUGCUAUUAAAGAUGGGGUUCACGUGUUAAGAAGAGGGUACCUGAAGUGGAGGCUAAGUUGUGAUUUGGCUGCAAAUAAUAAGGAAAAGUCUCAGAUGGAUGACACCUAAAAUGGGGAACAACACAAAGGCUACUCUUUGACAAG